rnacentral:rRNA from 1 species
UACGGAGGGUGCAAGCGUUAUCCGGACUCACUGGGUUAAAGGGUGCGUAGGUGGGCAAGUAAGUCAGUGGUGAAAUCUCCGGGCUUAACCCGGAAACUGCCAUUGAUACUAUUUGUCUUGAAUACUGUGGAGGUCAGCGGAAUAUGUCAUGUAGCGGUGAAAUGCUUAGAUAUGACAUAGAACACCAAUUGCGAAGGCAGCUGGCUACACAAAUAUUGACACUGAGGCACGAAAGCGUGGGGAUCAAACAGG